GAUGAAGAACGUAGCGAAAUGCGAUAAGUAGUGUGAAUUGCAGAAUUCAGUGAAUCAUCGAAUCUUUGAACGCACAUUGCGCCCCUUGGUAUCCCGAGGAGCAUGCCUGUUCGAGCGUCAUUUCACCACUCAAGCCUGGCUUGGUGUUGGGCGACGUCCUCUUUGGGGACGCGCCUCGAAACGCUCGGCGGCGUGGCACCGGCUUUAAGCGUAGCAGAAUCUUUCGCUUUGGAAGUCGGGGCCCCGUCUGCCGGAAGACCUGCUCGCAAGGUUGACCUCGGAUCAGGCAGGGAUACCCGCUGAACUUAAGCAUAUCAAUAAGCGGAGGA
rnacentral:misc_RNA from 1 species